rnacentral:lncRNA from 1 species
CAUCCAAUGGAGAAUGGCAUGUAAUGACAUCACAAUUAGUUACUACUCAAUGUUGAUUGCAGUGAACUGCCCUAUUGACCCAAGUGUGUAAGGGGAUGAAGUGACUGCUGUGAUAAUUACUAUGAGUACCUCAAAGACUGAGAGCUCCAGUCCAAGAGGCCCUUUGCUGAUUCCAACCGCAACAUCCAACAUCGGCCACUAAUUCAGCCAGCUGGUAAGAUCUGCCCUCACCUGCUGUUCUUACAGUACCUGGGGAAAGUGAGGUCUGCUGUCCCAGUCCUUGGAGGACCAGUGGGACUAAGCUGGAAGAAAUCUUGGGUAUGUCCAGUUUCUUCUCAGCUUGACGUCCUCUUGAGAAAGAGGAUUCCAGGUUUCUGUCUUUUGUCUGGGGACAACUGGAACAAAAACAGACACCCUCGGCUUCUUCUUGCCAGUCUACAUGGGUGCCAAACAAUCCCACAUUCCUCAUCCUCUCCACUGGGCUGUCUCCUUCACAACCUCGCCAAACUUGACAUAUGCAUUUAGUUUUUUAUUGCAACAUGGCCUGGACCCAAUACAAAUUAAAUAAUGACAGCUGAUGGCCCAAAAAUGGCACCUUUAACUUUCAAAUUCUCAGGGACCUUGACAACUUUAUAACCAGGAACAGUAAAUGGCAAGAGGUUCUCUAUAUUCAGGCUUUCUUCUACCUUAUAUCCCAACCCUCCCUGUGUCAAGCUUGUACCCCUCAUGAAAUCCUUUUUCUUAAUGAAAACCCUCCCUGGGUCUCUCCUUCCUCCAAAACUUCUUCCUUCAAAACUCCUUCCUCCGAAAUCCCUUUUGACCCUGCAGAUGAAUCCCCUCCGUAUUCUCAUCCCCCUGCAUCAUGAUGCUCCUCAUCUGUCUGAACUCUCUGCCCCGGUGUCCCGCCCUGCCCCCAAGCCCUCAGCCCCAAAUCCCACUCCUCCUCCUUCUCCACCUGCUACCCAUUCAAAAACCAUCUCUGCUAUUCUCUGUUUCUGAGAAGUGGCUAGGUUUGAAGGCACUGCUCGCAUUCAUAUGCCUUUUUCCAUGUCUGAUUUGUCACAGAUCAAACAGCAUCUGGGAUCUUUCCCGGAAAAUCCCCCUCAUUAUCUCAGGGAAUUCCUGGCACAUAACCUAAUCCUUUAAUUUAACUUGGCAUGAUAUUUAUAUAAUUCUAACUUCCACCCUCACCCCGAUGAAAAAGAGUGCUCAGCUUAAUUAAAAUGAAUAUCCAAGCUGAGUAUAUUCAAAAGGCCUUUAUGUUUUUCUCUUCAUAAAUCUUGUUUUCCUGGAAAAGGUUUUUUCCCAGUUAACUGAAUUACUUUUGUCCACUUUGUCUUCCCAUUCUUGGUGCAUGUAUGAAGAACACUAAAAUGACUUCUGGUGUCCUGGGACUCAUUGGGAAAACAGAAAAGGCACCAAAAAUCCUGUUUCAGGAAAAAUCUGUUUUCCUCACAGAACCCCUGGAAUUAGAGGUGGAUAAGUACUUCUCAAAAUCAUCUUUGUCUUCCAGCUAUACUUGUUUAUUAGGCCCUGGAAACUGUUUUCCUAGCCCUGUUUUGUUUUGUUUUUUUCUGAGAUGGAGUCUUGCUCUGUCACCAGGUUGGAGUGCAGUGGCACGAUCUCAGCUCA